rnacentral:rRNA from 1 species
UACGUAGGGGGCAAGCGUUGUCCGGAAUCAUUGGGCGUAAAGCGCGCGUAGGCGGCCCGGUAAGUCCGCUCUGAAAGUCCAGGGCUCAACCCUGGAAAGCGGGUGGAUACUGCCGGGCUAGAAUCCGGAAGAGGCGAGUGGAAUUCCUGGUGUAGCGGUGAAAUGCGUAGAUAUCAGGAGGAAUACCUAUGGCGAAAGCAGGUAUCUGGGCCAUCACCGACGCUGAGGCACGAAAGCGUGGGGAUCAAACAGG